UUGUAGUCAAUAUUACUUUUACUUACCUUUCUUGAUGGAAAAAAAAUAAACCUUGUCUUUUAGAGAAUACAGUGGGGUAUUAUUUACAUUAAUUCAUAUGGCUUGGUGAAAAAAAUGUGCUAACUCCUUUACUUAAUGGGAUUCUUCCCCUGUGGCAGUGCAAACGGCUAGAGCAGGAGCUUCAUCAUCUGAAAGAGCAGAACCAGACUUCAGCAAACAACAUGAGACAUCUGACUGCUGAAAACAAUCAAGAACGUGCUCUGAAGGCAAAGUUGUUAUCAAUGCAUCAAGCAAAAGAAACUGCAGUUGAACAAUACAAGAAACUGGAAGAAGAAAUUCAGACACUACAAGUUUACUACAGACAUCCUCAAGAACCACCUUAA
rnacentral:lncRNA from 1 species